rnacentral:rRNA from 1 species
UACGUAGGGUGCAAGCGUUAAUCGGAAUUACUGGGCGUAAAGCGUGCGCAGGCGGUUUUGUAAGUCUGUCGUGAAAGCCCCGGGCUCAACCUGGGAAUUGCGAUGGAGACUGCAAGGCUUGAAUCUGGCAGAGGGGGGUAGAAUUCCACGUGUAGCAGUGAAAUGCGUAGAGAUGUGGAGGAACACUGAUGGCGAAGGCAGCCCCCUGGGUCAAGAUUGACGCUCAUGCACGAAAGCGUGGGGAGCAAACAGG